UACGUAGGGUGCGAGCGUUUGUCCGGAAUUAUUGGGCGUAAAGGGCUCGUAGGCGGUCUGUCGCGUCGGUCGUGAAAACUUGGGGCUUAACCCCAAGCCUGCUUCCGAUACGGGCGGACUAGAGGUAGGCAGGGGGAGAACGGAAUUCCUGGUGUAGCGGUGAAAUGCGCAGAUAUCGGGGAAAGAACACCCGUGGCUAAGGCGGCUCUCUAGUACGGUACUGACGCUGAGACGCGAAAAGCGUGGGGGAGCGAACAGGG
rnacentral:rRNA from 1 species